UACGACUCUCGGCAAUGGAUAUCUUGGCUCUUGCAUCGAUGAAGAACGCAACGAAAUGCGAUACGUGGUGCGAAUUGCAGAAUCCCGUGAACCAUCGAGUUUUUGAACGCAAGUUGCGCCUGAGGCCAACUGGCCAAGGGCACGUCCGCCUGGGCGUCAUGC
rnacentral:rRNA from 1 species